rnacentral:rRNA from 1 species
UACGGAGGGUGCGAGCGUUGUCCGGAAUCAUUGGGCGUAAAGGGCGCGUAGGUGGCGGGACAAGCGUGCGGUGAAAGCCUGGGGCUCAACCCCGGGUCGGCCGUGCGAACUGUUUUGCUUGAGCACUGUAGAGGCAGGCGGAAUUGACGGUGUAGCGGUGAAAUGCUUAGAUAUCGUCAAGAACACCGAUAGCGAAGGCAGCUUGCCAAGCAACAACUGACGCUCAGGCACGAAAGUGCGGGGAUCAAACAGG